UACGGGGGGAGCAAGCGUUGUUCGGAUUUACUGGGCGUAAAGGGCGCGUAGGCGGUCAGCACAAGUCAAUUGUGAAAUCUCCGAGCUUAACUCGGAAAGGUCAACUGAAACUGUGCGACUAGAGUGCGGAAGGGGCAACUGGAAUUCUUGGUGUAGCGGUGAAAUGCGUAGAUAUCAAGAGGAACACCUGCGGCGAAGGCGGCUACCUGGACCGGUUCUGACGCUGAUGCGCGAAAGCGUGGGUAGCAAACAGG
rnacentral:rRNA from 1 species